AUUCUCAUGACAGUGGUCGAACACGCCCCACACUCCAGUCCAGUUGGUGACGGGUGCGCAUGUGUGUAUGAUUGCGCGGGCAGCGCGCGCGGUGCGUUUGUAGUUCACAAGUAGCUAGGUAGUCGGUUAUGUGGUCUUCUUGGGCGGCUUUCUGUAACGUUAACGUUACAUUUGACUGUUUGAAAUGAACAAUGUCAUAAAUAAAAAUAGAUUCAGAGCUGUGCAACGGAGAUUUUACGAUGGUAAAACAGCCACAAUCCAGUAAGAAACAUUGCUGGAGGAAGAGUAUUUUUCACAACGAGGACAUUUUUUGCGACGUGAAGGAGGAGUGGGGUGCCAUUGAAGGAUUGGAGCAGCACUGAACACAUAUCAUAAUCAAGAAGACCCAGCCAGCCACCUCUUCACCUGAGGGAGAAACUGCCCAGCCCUGUCUUCCCCCAGUCAAAUAACCAUUCCAUGUGGCAGCAGCAUGUGGGUGGACAAGUUCCAGGUGCCAUGGGAAAGAAGAGCCAUUGAUGCUGGAUGUUGGAGACAUACCAGGAAGGUGCAGUGGCUCUGGUGGCAGUGGUCAAUGAGGAGCAAGUGCCUGCAGGAAUCACCUUUUUCAAACUCAUCACAUUCAUACUAAACCAUCAGGAUUUAAUGUGUCACAGACCUUGGAUAGAUAUACUGACUACCUUUAAAAAGCUUAUGGUUUCCUAACUUCAUCCAGAGGUUUUGUAGUAUGAAGUCAGAAGAGUCCAAAAAAAUUUACUUUGGGCUUGCAUGCCGUAAACUGGUAUACAAAUGGAUUUAUUAAGACUGUAUGGUGUUUAAAUAGUUAUACAAACCAUUUAACAAGAUCUGUUAAAUGUUCUGCUUGGGUUUUGUUUGUAUCACAUUCCUGUCUUUUUCCCUGCAUGGAUUUUCAUCCAUUUAGUAUACCAAGUAACUCCAGUGCACACAGAUUGUUAGAGAAGUAAACAUUAACAUUAGUACAGAUCCUUUGGACUGCUGGUUCAGAGCCAGCUUAUAACAGCUGCUGCUGCAAGGAAGUAAUUACAGUGAUUUAGGCUGUUUUAAAUUGAUAAAAACUGUAUUUUGGCAGUUUAAUAAUGCUUAUAGACAGUUUAAAAAAGCAAUUAUUCAAGGUUUU